rnacentral:rRNA from 1 species
GACGAACGCUGGCGGCGUGCUUAACACAUGCAAGUCGAACGAAGUGGCGAACGGGUGAGUAACGCGUAAUCAACCUGCCCUUCAGAGGGGGACAACAGUUGGAAACGACUGCUAAUACCGCAUAAGGAAGGAGGGGAUGGCGGCUGAUUAGCUAGUUGGAGGGGUAACGGCCAACCAAGGCGAUGAUCUGUAGCCGGUCGGAGAGUAUGAACGGCCACAUUGGGACUGAGACACGGCCCAGACUGCUACGGUAGGCAGCAGUGGGGAGGCUGCCGCAAUGGACGAAAGUCUGACGGAGCAACGCCGCGUGAGUGAGGACGGCCUUCGGGUUGUAAAGCUCUGUUAAUCGGGACGCGGUACCGGAAUAGAAAGCCACGGCUAACUACGUGCCAGCCGCCGCGGUAAUAC